UUGGUUUGGCCGAAAAGUUCGUUCGGGUUUUGCCGUAGCAUGAAAAACCCGAACGAACUUUUUGGCCAAGCCAAU
rnacentral:miRNA from 1 species